AAACAUUGAUAGUGUUACACCCCACUAUCCGCCCGGGAACUACGAGCAAUAGCUUAAAACCCAAAGGACUUGGCGGUGCUUUAGAUCCACUUAGAGGAGCCUGUUCUAGAACCGAUAAUCCCCGUUCAACCUCACCUUUCCUAGUUUUACCCGCCUAUAUACCGCCGUCGCCAGCUUACCCUGUGAAGGUCUUAUAGUAAGCAAAAAUGAUCUAUAAUCCAAGACGUCAGGUCGAGGUGUAGCGCAUGGAAAGGAAAGAAAUGGGCUACAUUCCCUACCCCAGGGAAUACGAAUAAUACACUGAAACGCGUAUUUGAAGGAGGAUUUAAUAGUAAGUAGAAAAUAGAGUGUCCU
rnacentral:rRNA from 1 species